rnacentral:tRNA from 1 species
GCAUUAGUGGUUCAGUGUUAGAAUUUUUGCCUUCAAUGCAGGAGACCCAGGUUCAAUUUCUGGCCAAUGUA